rnacentral:lncRNA from 1 species
GCGGCGGGGGCAGGGGGCGAGCAGUGGUUGGGCGACUCCAGUGUUCGUUUCUUCCGCAAAUAGUCACUGGGCGCGGGCUCGCGGGAAGGCAGGUUACGGAGGCCGGGGCAUUGAGAAGUGUAUGUGCUUAUGAAGCAAGUGUGAGCUCAGAAAGAUAGGCCCUUGGUGAUGUGGGGCUUCAUGAUUGAGCUUGGCCCGGCCUGGUGGGCUUCCCAGAGGGAAGUCUGAAGGAGGCCACGGCGGCGCUUUGUAAAACUGGACUGGAAGCAGGGAGCCACUGCUACCCAGCUAGGGAAGUUGUAUGUGUUCAUUUAUUCAGUCAAGUCUCCUAUUCGGGCAUACCUACUUACUAUGUACCAGGCUCCUGCUGACACACACUUGACAGAAUUAAAAUGCUCAGUACUGAAGAUUCUAAGCAGAGGGGAGGAGGAGGACCAGGAGGCGGAAGAGGAGAGAAGCAGCCAUUCCGGGUUUUUCUAUGUCGUCUUGACUGACUUGGAACUCACUAUAUAGACCAUACAGAGAUCUGCCUGACUGCCCCUGCCUCCCAAAUGGCAGGAUUAAAGGCCUGUGUCAUCAAGCCCAGUAUGGUAAUGUUUUUUAUGGUGUUCAGAAUAUCCCAAACCAGUGAAAAUAGUGGCUGUACUUAGUUCUGACUGGGAGGAACACAGAAGAUCCCCCACACUCUCUGAUCUGUGUAUUCAAAACGAGGUGUGCACGUGUGUAGUAAACAUGUAUCAAAUACUGGAAAUUUAUGUUUCACUUUGUAAACAGAGGUAGAAAGAACAGGACAGGAAUCUGAACACACUUCUCGGGAACCAAGAUACUUGAUUCAAAAUGGAACAAUUAAACUAGCAUUGAAAGAACUCCGUGGAGACUGUCUAAGCAUGGGACUUCUUCUGUUUUCUCCUCUCAGUCUGAUGUAUGGAAGAAGUCUCUCUUCAUCUUCUUACCCAAGACUGCAGCAAUUUUAAAGCCAGGCCUUUUCUGUGACUUAGGUCAGACCUCAUCGAGGUGCAGGAACUCCCUGCCUGUCUGCACACAUCCUCACUGAAGAAAGAGUUCACCUGCCAUGAUGGUGGAAUCUUUGUCAACAUCACUGCAGUCCCUGGACACUAGAUGAGACUUAGGCUCAAAUUUCCCUACAGAUUUGUAUCUUUGUAUACCAGCCUAUGGUAUACUAAUCUAUACCAUAGACGUGAACAGCGGAGCCAUCCUUAAAGAAAGUUGUGGGCAGGAUGGAGUCACAGAAGCUGUACUGAGAAGCUGACAUUCUAGUGGUUGUAAGUGCUGUGUACCCAGAUUGAUUGACACAAUACUCUUCACUUGGUCCUGAUUCUGGGAAUCAAGCCCUGACAGAACUUCCAAAUCUCCAAAUCUCCUUAUGUCUUAACGAAGAAAACGAAGCAAUGCAGCCCCUCGCGCACCCUGCCUGAGCUCUGAAACAUCCUUUUCAUGAUUUUGCCGAAGCCUUAGCUGGUAACAUUGCUACCCCCAAAUAAUGUUAAUGUACAAUAUACAAGU